CACCGCGGUUAUACGAGAGGUCCAAGCUGACAGCCAUCGGCGUAAAGAGUGGUUAAGUUAACCUUAUACAACUAAAGUCGAACGCCCCCAAGACCGUUAUACGUGCUCGGAGGUAUGAAGUCCAACGACGAAAGUGGCUUUAAAAUUCCUGACCCCACGAAAGCUGUGAAA
rnacentral:rRNA from 1 species